rnacentral:rRNA from 2 species
AGGGAAUAUUCGUCAAUGGGGGAAACCCUGAACGAGCAAUGCCGCGUGAGUGAUGACGGUCCUAUGGAUUGUAAAACUCUGUUAUUUGGGAAGAAUGUCUAAAAUAGGAAAUGAUUUUAGAGUGACGGUACCAAAUGAGAAAGCCCCGGCUAACUACGUGCCAGCAGCCGCGGUAAUACGUAGGGGGCGAGCGUUAUCCGGAUUCAUUGGGCGUAAAGCGUGUGUAGGCGGUUUAUUAAGUCUGUGGUCAAAUGCUAAAGCUUAACUUUAGUACGCCGUGGAAACUGGUAAACUUGAGUAGAGUAGAGGCAAGUGGAAUUCCUAGUGUAGCGGUGGAAUGCGUAGAUAUUAGGAGGAACACCAGUGGCGAAGGCGGCUUGCUGGGCUCUCACUGACGCUGAGACACGAAAGCGUGGGUAGCAAAUAGG